AAAAAGGCCCUUUUCAGGGCCACAAUUUUAUAUUAAAAAAGAAUU
rfam:Drosophila willistoni strain TSC#14030-0811.24 scf2_1100000011382 genomic scaffold, whole genome shotgun sequence.